rnacentral:rRNA from 1 species
AUACGUAGGGGGCGAGCGUUGUCCGGAAUGAUUGGGCGUAAAGGGCGCGUAGGCGGCCCGGUAAGUCUGGAGUGAAAGUCCUGUUUUUAAGAUGGGAAUUGCUUUGGAUACUGUCGGGCUUGAGUGCAGGAGAGGUAAGUGGAAUUCCCAGUGUAGCGGUGAAAUGCGUAGAGAUUGGGAGGAACACCAGUGGCGAAGGCGACUUACUGGACUGUAACUGACGCUGAGGCGCGAAAGUGUGGGGAGCAAACAGGAUGAGAUACCCUGGUGGUCCACACUGUAAACGAUGAAUGCUAGGUGUAGGGGGUAUCGACCCCUUCUGUGCCGCAGUCAACACAAUAAGCAUUCCGCCUGGGGAGUACGGCCGCAAGGUUGAAACUUAAAGGAAUUGACGGGG